CCUACGGGUGGCUGCAGUGGGGAAUAUUGGACAAUGGGCGAAAGCCUGAUCCAGCCAUGCCGCGUGUGUGAAGAAGGCCUUCGGGUUGUAAAGCACUUUCAGUGGGGAAGAAAGCCUUGGGGCUAAUACCCUCGAGGAAGGACAUCACCCACAGAAGAAGCACCGGCUAACUCCGUGCCAGCAGCCGCGGUAAUACGGAGGGUGCGAGCGUUAAUCGGAAUUACUGGGCGUAAAGCGCGCGUAGGCGGUCUGAUAAGCCGGUUGUGAAAGCCCCGGGCUCAACCUGGGAACGGCAGCCGGAACUGUCAGGCUAGAGUGCAGGAGAGGAAGGGAGAAUUCCCGGUGUAGCGGUGAAAUGCGUAGAGAUCGGGAGGAAGACCAGUGGCGAAGGCGGCCUUCUGGACUGACACUGACGCUGAGGUGCGAAAGCGUGGGUAGCAAACAGGAUUAGAUACCCCUGUAGUC
rnacentral:rRNA from 1 species